rnacentral:rRNA from 1 species
GACGAACGCUGGCGGCGUGCUUAACACAUGCAAGUCGAACGGGCCUUGUCCCCUUUUUUUUUGGGGGUGGGGUUAGUGGCGAACGGGUGAGUAACACGUGAGUAACCUGCCCCUCACUUCUGGAUAACCGCUUGAAAGGGUGGCUAAUACGGGGUGUUCUGGCCUGCUCGCAUGGGUGGGUUUGGAAAGAUUCGACCGGUUUGGGUGUUUUGGUGGGGGAUGGGCUCGCGGCCUAUCAGCUUGUUGGUGGGGUGAUGGCCUGCCAAGGCUUUGACGGGUAGCCGGCCUGAGGGGGUGGGCGGUCACUCUGGGACUGAGACACGGCCCAGACUCCUACGGGGGGCAGCAGUGGGGAAUAUUGCACAAUGGGCGCAAGCCUGAUGCAGCGACGCCGCGUGAGGGAUGGAGGCCUUCGGGUUGUGAACCUCUUUCGCCGGUGAAGAAGGUCCUGCUCUUUGUGGUGGGGUUGACGGUAGCUGGGUUAAUGAAGCGCCGGCUAACUACGUG